rnacentral:rRNA from 1 species
CCAGACUCCUACGGGAGGCAGCAGUGGGGAAUAUUGGGCAAUGGGCGCAAGCCUGACCCAGCAACGCCGCGUGAAGGAAGAAGGCUUUCGGGUUGUAAACUUCUUUUGACAGGGAAGAGCAGAAGACGGUACCUGUCGAAUAAGCCACGGCUAACUACGUGCCAGCAGCCGCGGUAAUACGUAGGUGGCAAGCGUUGUCCGGAUUUACUGGGUGUAAAGGGCGUGCAGCCGGGAAGACAAGUCAGAUGUGAAAUCCCGCGGCUCAACCGCGGAACUGCAUUUGAAACUGUUUUUCUUGAGUACCGGAGAGGUCAUCGGAAUUCCUUGUGUAGCGGUGAAAUGCGUAGAUAUAAGGAAGAACACCAGUGGCGAAGGCGGCUUUCUGGACUGUAACUGACACUGAGGUACGAAAGCGUGGGGAGCAAACAGGAUUAGAUACCCCCGUAAA